GGUUAAGCGACUAAGCGUACACGGUGGAUGCCCUGGCAGUCAGAGGCGAUGAAGGACGUGCUAAUCUGCGAUAAGCGUCGGUAAGGUGAUAUGAACCGUUAUAACCGGCGAUUUCCGAAUGGGGAAACCCAGUGUGAUUCGACACACUAUCAUUAACUGAAUCCAUAGGUUAAUGAGGCGAACCGGGGGAACUGAAACAUCUAAGUACCCCGAGGAAAAGAAAUCAACCGAGAUUCCCCCAGUAGCGGCGAGCGAACGGGGAGCAGCCCAGAGCCUGAAUCAGUGUGUGUGUUAGUGGAAGCGUCUGGAAAGGCGCGCGAUACAGGGUGACAGCCCCGUACACAAAAAUGCACAUGCUGUGAGCUCGAUGAGUAGGGCGGGACACGUGGUAUCCUGUCUGAAUAUGGGGGGACCAUCCUCCAAGGCUAAAUACUCCUGACUGACCGAUAGUGAACCAGUACCGUGAGGGAAAGGCGAAAAGAACCCCGGCGAGGGGAGUGAAAAAGAACCUGAAACCGUGUACGUACAAGCAGUGGGAGCACGCUUAGGCGUGUGACUGCGUACCUUUUGUAUAAUGGGUCAGCGACUUAUAUUCUGUAGCAAGGUUAACCGAAUAGGGGAGCCGAAGGGAAACCGAGUCUUAACUGGGCGUUAAGUUGCAGGGUAUAGACCCGAAACCCGGUGAUCUAGCCAUGGGCAGGUUGAAGGUUGGGUAACACUAACUGGAGGACCGAACCGACUAAUGUUGAAAAAUUAGCGGAUGACUUGUGGCUGGGGGUGAAAGGCCAAUCAAACCGGGAGAUAGCUGGUUCUCCCCGAAAGCUAUUUAGGUAGCGCCUCGUGAAUUCAUCUCCGGGGGUAGAGCACUGUUUCGGCAAGGGGGUCAUCCCGACUUACCAACCCGAUGCAAACUGCGAAUACCGGAGAAUGUUAUCACGGGAGACACACGGCGGGUGCUAACGUCCGUCGUGAAGAGGGAAACAACCCAGACCGCCAGCUAAGGUCCCAAAGUCAUGGUUAAGUGGGAAACGAUGUGGGAAGGCCCAGACAGCCAGGAUGUUGGCUUAGAAGCAGCCAUCAUUUAAAGAAAGCGUAAUAGCUCACUGGUCGAGUCGGCCUGCGCGGAAGAUGUAACGGGGCUAAACCAUGCACCGAAGCUGCGGCAGCGACGCUUAUGCGUUGUUGGGUAGGGGAGCGUUCUGUAAGCCUGCGAAGGUGUGCUGUGAGGCAUGCUGGAGGUAUCAGAAGUGCGAAUGCUGACAUAAGUAACGAUAAAGCGGGUGAAAAGCCCGCUCGCCGGAAGACCAAGGGUUCCUGUCCAACGUUAAUCGGGGCAGGGUGAGUCGACCCCUAAGGCGAGGCCGAAAGGCGUAGUCGAUGGGAAACAGGUUAAUAUUCCUGUACUUGGUGUUACUGCGAAGGGGGGACGGAGAAGGCUAUGUUGGCCGGGCGACGGUUGUCCCGGUUUAAGCGUGUAGGCUGGUUUUCCAGGCAAAUCCGGAAAAUCAAGGCUGAGGCGUGAUGACGAGGCACUACGGUGCUGAAGCAACAAAUGCCCUGCUUCCAGGAAAAGCCUCUAAGCAUCAGGUAACAUCAAAUCGUACCCCAAACCGACACAGGUGGUCAGGUAGAGAAUACCAAGGCGCUUGAGAGAACUCGGGUGAAGGAACUAGGCAAAAUGGUGCCGUAACUUCGGGAGAAGGCACGCUGAUAUGUAGGUGAAGUCCCUCGCGGAUGGAGCUGAAAUCAGUCGAAGAUACCAGCUGGCUGCAACUGUUUAUUAAAAACACAGCACUGUGCAAACACGAAAGUGGACGUAUACGGUGUGACGCCUGCCCGGUGCCGGAAGGUUAAUUGAUGGGGUCAGCGCAAGCGAAGCUCUUGAUCGAAGCCCCGGUAAACGGCGGCCGUAACUAUAACGGUCCUAAGGUAGCGAAAUUCCUUGUCGGGUAAGUUCCGACCUGCACGAAUGGCGUAAUGAUGGCCAGGCUGUCUCCACCCGAGACUCAGUGAAAUUGAACUCGCUGUGAAGAUGCAGUGUACCCGCGGCAAGACGGAAAGACCCCGUGAACCUUUACUAUAGCUUGACACUGAACAUUGAGCCUUGAUGUGUAGGAUAGGUGGGAGGCUUUGAAGUGUGGACGCCAGUCUGCAUGGAGCCGACCUUGAAAUACCACCCUUUAAUGUUUGAUGUUCUAACGUUGACCCGUAAUCCGGGUUGCGGACAGUGUCUGGUGGGUAGUUUGACUGGGGCGGUCUCCUCCUAAAGAGUAACGGAGGAGCACGAAGGUUGGCUAAUCCUGGUCGGACAUCAGGAGGUUAGUGCAAUGGCAUAAGCCAGCUUGACUGCGAGCGUGACGGCGCGAGCAGGUGCGAAAGCAGGUCAUAGUGAUCCGGUGGUUCUGAAUGGAAGGGCCAUCGCUCAACGGAUAAAAGGUACUCCGGGGAUAACAGGCUGAUACCGCCCAAGAGUUCAUAUCGACGGCGGUGUUUGGCACCUCGAUGUCGGCUCAUCACAUCCUGGGGCUGAAGUAGGUCCCAAGGGUAUGGCUGUUCGCCAUUUAAAGUGGUACGCGAGCUGGGUUUAGAACGUCGUGAGACAGUUCGGUCCCUAUCUGCCGUGGGCGCUGGAGAACUGAGGGGGGCUGCUCCUAGUACGAGAGGACCGGAGUGGACGCAUCACUGGUGUUCGGGUUGUCAUGCCAAUGGCACUGCCCGGUAGCUAAAUGCGGAAGAGAUAAGUGCUGAAAGCAUCUAAGCACGAAACUUGCCCCGAGAUGAGUUCUCCCUGACUCCUUGAGAGUCCUGAAGGAACGUUGAAGACGACGACGUUGAUAGGCCGGGUGUGUAAGCGCAGCGAUGCGUUGAGCUAACCGGUACUAAUGAACCGUGAGGCUUAACCUU
rnacentral:rRNA from 1 species